rnacentral:rRNA from 1 species
GACGAACGCUGGCGGCGCGCCUAACACAUGCAAGUCGAACGAGAGAGAAGGAGCUUGCUUCUUCGAUCGAGUGGCGAACGGGUGAGUAACGCGUGAGGAACCUGCCUCAAAGAGGGGGACAACAGUUGGAAACGACUGCUAAUACCGCAUAAGCCCACGGGUCGGCAUCGACCUGAGGGAAAAGGAGCAAUCCGCUUUGAGAUGGCCUCGCGUCCGAUUAGCUAGUUGGUGAGGUAACGGCCCACCAAGGCGACGAUCGGUAGCCGGACUGAGAGGUUGAACGGCCACAUUGGGACUGAGACACGGCCCAGACUCCUACGGGAGGCAGCAGUGGGGAAUAUUGCACAAUGGGGGAAACCCUGAUGCAGCGACGCCGCGUGGAGGAAGAAGGUCUUCGGAUUGUAAACUCCUGUUGUUGAGGAAGAUAAUGACGGUACUCAACAA